AUCCCUCUAUUAUUUUUACAUUUUGUCACAUUAUAUCAUUGAAGUAUGAGCAAAAUUUUAGAGGUGAUCUUAGCUCCAGCAUCCUGUGUGAUUACUUACCUGUGAUCAAAUGCCAAGACUUCAAUUACUGAGUCUAAGGAUAGAGUUGGCGCUAAUCAACAUGUCUCCACAAAGCACAAAGUUUACUCCGGUGCCUUUCCUUGCUGAACUCAGUGCCCUAUAAUGCUACCUGGUUCAGGUGAACUUGCUGACACGGACUAUGAAUCAAAGUGCUACAAGAGACAUGAGACAAGUUUCACAUUGGCCUCACAUGUAGAUAAAAC